rnacentral:rRNA from 1 species
UACGUAGGGAGCAAGCGUUGUCCGGAAUCAUUGGGCGUAAAGCGCGCGUAGGCGGCUCGAUCAGUCUGUUGUGAAAGUCAAAGGCUCAACCUUUGAAUGCCGAUGGAUACUGUCGAGCUAGAGUCCGGAAGAGGCGAGUGGAAUUCCUGGUGUAGCGGUGGAAUGCGCAGAUAUCAGGAGGAACACCAACGGCGAAGGCAGCUCGCUGGGACGGUACUGACGCUAAGGCGCGAAAGCGUGGGGAGCAAACAGG